rnacentral:rRNA from 1 species
AUUGAACGCUGGCGGCAGGCCUAACACAUGCAAGUCGAGCGGGGUUUUCGGACCUAGCGGCGGACGGGUGAGUAAUGCGUAGGAAGCUACCCGAUAGAGGGGGAUACCAGUUGGAAACGACUGUUAAUACCGCAUAAUGUCUACGGACCAAAGUGUGGGACCUUCGGGCCACAUGCUAUCGGAUGCGCCUACGUGGGAUUAGCUAGUUGGUGGGGUAAUGGCUCACCAACGCGACGAUCCCUAGCUGGUUUGAGGGGAUGAUCAGCCACACUGGAACCUAGACACGGUCCAGACUCCUACGGGAGGCAGCAGUGGGGAAUAGUGGACAAUGGGCGCAAGCCUGAUCCAGCCAUGCCGCGUGUGUGAAUAAGGCCUUCGGGUUGUAAAGCACUUUCAGUAGGGAGGAAGAGUUGAGUGUUAAUAGUACUCAGCUUUGACGUUACCUACAGAAGAAGCACCGGCUAACUCUGUGCCAGCCGCCGCAGUAACAC